ensembl:lncRNA
AAAAUGUUUAAAAAUAAAGAAGUCUUGAGAACAAAUGAUCUGCCAGAUGAUUCUGUUUCUCCACAGGAGCAGAGUCUGAAGUCUGGAGAUUGGAUUUUGAUAAGGCCAUGGAGAGGAAGUGCUGGUCCAGUCCACGGUGGUCCCUAUCGGGUGAUGCUGACGACGACCAUAGCAGUGAAGAUUGCUGAAAGGAUUACUUGGAUAUGUGACAGAGAACUGCUGUGGAGGUAAACGCAGACGACACGAGAGCUCUCGAUUAACACUCCUCGUUUAUUCCUCACCACAACACAACUGAACACUUUUCCCUCCAAAACAUAGCAACAACACUUCCGAGAACUGGGUGUGAGUGGAGCCCUCCAGUGGUCCACCACACAUGCCCCCCCCGAACACCCAGUAGGGUCAUCCCCUAGUCCAGAACCCUCGCUUUAAUCAAACGUCCAGAACGGCUGAACCGGGGAGGUGGAGA